GAGGAUUAGCUCAGCUGGGAGAGCACCUGCCUUACAAGCAGGGGGUCGGCGGUUCGAUCCCGUCAUCCUCACCA
rnacentral:tRNA from 1 species